rnacentral:rRNA from 1 species
AGAGCGCAAGGGGAAUGCCUUGGCAUCAGGAGCCGAUGAAGGACGUGACAAGCUGCGAUAAGCUUCGGGGAGCUGCAAAUGAGCAUUGAUCCGGAGAUUUCCGAAUGGGGAAACCCACUGUGGCAAUACCACAGUAACGUGCAUUGAAUCAAAUAGGUGUACGUGGGGAACCGCCUGAACUGAAACAUCUAAGUAGGGCGAGGAAAAGACAUCAACCGAGAUUCCGCUAGUAGUGGCGAGCGAACGCGGAGGAGGCCAAACCGAGUGUAGCAAUAUGCUCGGGGUUAUGGACGGACAUCAUGAUCGUGAAAAGCUAGGAGAACGGCAUGGGAAGGCCGGCAAUAUAGUGUGAGAGCCACGUAUCCGAAAGUAAUAGCGACAGUUCGUAUCCAGAGUACCGCAGGACACGAGGAACCCUGUGGGAAGUCGGGGGGACCACCCUCCAAGCCUAAAUACUACCUGAUGACCGAUAGAGGAGCAGUACCGUGAGGGAAAGGUGAAAAGAACCCCGGGAGGGGAGUGAAAUAGUACCUGAAACCUUGUGCUUACAAGCAGUCACAGCCCGUUAAAGGGUGGUGGCGUACUUUUUGUAGAACGGUCCGGCGAGUUAUAGUCACUAGCAAGCUUAAGGUAUUCAGUACCGGAGGCGCAGGGAAACCAAGUCUGAACAGGGCGUAAGAAGUUAGUGGCCAUAGACCCGAAACCAUGUGACCUAGCCAUGAGCAGGAUGAAGUGGAGGUAAAGCUCCAUGGAGGUCCGAACGCACGUUCGUUGCAAUGACCGGCGAUGACUUGUGGCUAGCGGUGAAAUUCCAAUCGAACUUGGAGAUAGCUGGUUCUCCCCGAAAUAGCUUUAGGGCUAGCGUUGGCAAUGAGUUUCCCGGAGGUAAAGCACUGAAUGAGCUAGGGGGCGCGAGCUUACUGAACUCUAUCAAACUAAGAAUGCCGGAGAAAUGCUUACCAGCAGUCAGACUGCGAGUAAUAAAAUCCGUGGUCAAAAGGGUAACAGCCCAGACCCACAGCUAAGGUCCCCAAUAUACGCUAAGUGGAAAACGAUGUGAGAUCGCAUAAACAACCAGGAUGUUGGCUUAGAGGCAGCCACUCGUUCAAAGAGUGCGUAAUAGCUCACUGGUCGAGUGAUUUUGCGCGGAAAAUUUAACGGGGCUAAGCGUAUAACCGAAGCUUGGGCUUGCACGAAAGUGCAGGGGUAGGGGAGCGUCGUGUACGGGGUGAAGUCGCACCGGAAGGAGCGGUGGACUGUACACGAGUGAGAAUGCCGGAAUGAGUAGCGAGAAUUAUGUGAGAAUCAUAAUGGCCGAAAAUCUAAGGUUUCUUGGGGAAGGUUCGUCCGCCCAAGGUAAGCCGGGAGCUAAGGCGAGGCCGAAAGGCGUAGUCGAUGCACAUACGGUAGAAAUUCCGUAGCCACCGAACUUUAAGUCAGAGGGACACUUUUGGAUAGCGGAACCCGGGCGUUGGUUGACCCGGGCGAAAGGGAGCGAAAAUAUAGUAGCGAAGUCCGCGAUGCUGAGAGGCGAGAAAAGCUCUGAUGGAUACUAAGGUGCCCGUACCGCAAACCGACACAGGUAGAUGAGGAGAGAAUCCUAAGGCCAACGGGAGAAGGGUUGUUAAGGAACUCGGCAAAUUGACCCCGUAACUUCGGAAGAAGGGGAGCCCCCUACGGGGGGUCGCAGAGAAAUGGCCCAAGCAACUGUUUACCAAAAACACAGGUCUAUGCUAAAUCGAAAGAUGACGUAUAUGGGCUGACGCCUGCCCGGUGCCGGAAGGUUAAGAGGAGAUGUCAGCGCAAGCGAAGCAUUGAAUUGAAGCCCCGGUAAACGGCGGCCGUAACUAUAACGGUCCUAAGGUAGCGAAAUUCCUUGUCAGGUAAGUUCUGACCCGCACGAAAGGCGUAACGAUUUGGGCGCUGUCUCAACAAGAAACUCGGUGAAAUCAUAGUACCUGUGAAGAUGCAGGUUACCCGCGAUCAGACGGAGAGACCCCAUGGAGCUUCACUGCAGCUUAAUAUUGAUAUUGGGUGUGUGAUGUACAGGAUAGGUGGGAGACGAAGAAGCGAGUACGCUAGUAUUCGUGGAGUCAACGUUGGGAUACCACCCUUCAUACAUUUAGUAUCUAACUAGUAUCCAUAAUCUGGGUAUAGAACAGUGUUAGGUGGGCAGUUUGACUGGGGCGGUCGCCUCCCAAAGAGUAACGGAGGCGCCCAAAGGUUCCCUCAGAAUGGUUGGAAAUCAUUCAAAGAGUGCAAAGGCAGAAGGGAGCUUGACUGCGAGACGGACAGGUCGAGCAGGAACGAAAGUUGGGCUUAGUGAACCGGCUGUGCUGAAUGGAAAGGCAGUCGAUCAACGGACAAAAGCUACCCUGGGGAUAACAGGCUGAUCUCCCCCAAGAGUUCACAUCGACGGGGAGGUUUGGCACCUCGAUGUCGGCUCGUCGCAUCCUGGGGCUGGAGAAGGUCCCAAGGGUUGGGCUGUUCGCCCAUUAAAGCGUCACGCGAGCUGGGUUCAGAACGUCGUGAGACAGUUCGGUCCCUAUCUGUCGUGGGCGUAGGAAAUUUGAAGGGAGUCGUCCCUAGUACGAGAGGACCAGGAUGAACGUACCGCUGGUGAAUCAGUUGGCCUGCCAGGGCCACAGCUGGGUAGCUACGUACGGACGGGAUAAACGCUGAAAGCAUCUAAGCGUGAAGCCCCCCCUGAGAUGAGAUUUCCCAUUAGA